rfam:Camelus ferus unplaced genomic scaffold scaffold310, whole genome shotgun sequence.
GAAGGUAUAGCUCAGUGGUAGAGCUAGUGUUUCGCAUGCAUGAGGUCCUGGGCUCAAUCCCCAGUACCUCCA